rnacentral:rRNA from 1 species
AGAGUGAACGCUGGCGGUAGGCCUAACACAUGCAAGUCGAACGGCAGCACAGUAGGAGCUUGCUCUUACGGGUGGCGAGUGGCGGACGGGUGAGGAAUACGUCGGAAUCUACCUUUUGGUGGGGGAUAACGUAGGGAAACUUACGCUAAUACCGCAUACGCCCUUCGGGGGAAAGCCGGGGACCAGCAGUGGCCUGGUGCUGAUAGAUGAGCCGAUGUCGGAUUAGCUAGU